UAGGAAAAGUAAGAUGGCAAUGAAGAAAUCCAAUGUGAAAAAGUAAGCAGGUGACAUUAGAGUAACUGGUCUGGUAAAUAAAAAACCCGUUAUAAUGUAAAUAAAGCUGUAACGAUUGAUUUAUUUUUAAGGAAUCUAACAUGCCAGCGAAAAAUAUCUGCUUUUUAGAACGAGGAUUUAUGAUAGUUGCUGUUUGGGGAGUACUUUUACACUCUGUAUCGGCAAGAAGUUUUGGUAAUAAUCUUCUAAAGUCGAGUUCAUUCAAUAGCUCAAAUACAGAUAAUAUUUGUACCACGCCAGCAUGUAUUCAUACUGCCUCAAGCAUCCUGAAAAAUAUGAACCCAACCGUGGACCCUUGUGAUAACUUUCACAAAUUUGCUUGUGGAGGUUUUAUCGAUAUGGUAACUAUUCCUGAUGAAAAAGCUGAAGUUAGUGUAUUGAACAAUUUUGAUGACCAGCUUUUAAACCAACUCAAAAGGAGUAUGGAUAGUCCACGUUUAGCAGAAUCAAUUCGUCCAUUCAGACUUAUUAAAACCAUCUAUAACAGCUGCAUGAAUAGAAGUGCUAUUGAAGAACAAGGACUUACCCGAUUAUUGAGCAUUUUAAAAGAAUUAGGAGGCUGGCCAGUACUUGAAGGAGACUCGUGGAAGGAUGAUGAUUUUAGCUGGAUAUCAUCAAUCUACAAAUUCCGUAAGACGGGUUUCUCCAUAGAAUAUUUCAUAGAUUUAUACAUUUCGGAAGAUCUCCGCAAUAGCACCAAAAGAAUUAUAAAUCUGGGUGAAGUGACACUUGAAUUAUCACGAGACACCUCAUUAAAAGGAUUGCAAAACAAGUAUGUUAAAGAAUAUUACCAGUAUAUGGUCGAUAUUGCAGUUAUUCUUGGUGUUGAGCGUGACCAGGCUGAAAAAGAACUCAUGGAAUCCCUUGAAUUUGAGAUAAACCUUGCAAAUAUAACUCUACCAAAGGAAAAACGUCGUAACGUUGAUUUAUUUAAUAAUCCAAUGACAGUAGCUGAAUUAUCAGAAAAGUACCCCAGCAUACCUUGGAAAUAAUUCAUUAAUACCAUGCUCAAGCCUCAUGCCGAAGUUGAUGAUGAUGAAAUAAUCAAUGUCGACGUACCUAGUUAUAUAUCUGAUUUUGAAAAACUUAUAAACAUAACGCCCAAGAGGGUACAAGCUAAUUACGUUAUGUGGCGGGCCGUUUCAUAAACAGUCGAGUACUUGAAUGACAGAAUUCGUGAAAGACAACUAAAGUACUUGAUGACGCAGAAAGGCCAAAUUAAAAGAGAAUCCCAGCCGAUAGAAUGCAUUAUUUCCGUAGCUGAAAAACUACCAGUUGCCAUUGGUGCGUUGUAUGUAAGAAAUUAUGUAUCCAAAGAUCUUAAGAAAAAUGCCGUAGAAAUGAUAUCCGACAUCCAAAAUCAAUUUAAGAAAAUUUUACAAAACGUUGACUGGAUGGAUGAAGAAACCAUAAAGAGUGCUAUUGAGAAGGUUGCGGCAAUAGCGAGUCAUAUUGGAUACCCAGAUGAACUUUUGGAUGAUUCAAAAUUAGAAGAAUUUUAUGAAAAACUACAAUUUGA